rnacentral:rRNA from 1 species
AUUGAACGCUAGCGGGAUGCUUUACACAUGCAAGUCGAACGAGCGGCGGACGGGUGAGUAAUGUAUGGGGACUGCCCGAUAGAGGGGGAUAACUACUGGAAACGGUAGCUAAUACCGCAUACUAUCGGAUAACCCAUAUGGGAUUCGCUAGUAGGUGAGGUAAUGGCUCACCUAGGCGACGAUCCCUAGCUGGUCUGAGAGGAUGAUCAGCCACACUGUGACUGAGACACGGCCCAGACUCCUACGGAGGCAGCAGUGGGGAAUAUUGCACAAUGGGCGCAAGCCUGAUGCAGCCAUGCCGCGUGUAUGAAGAAGGCCUUCGGGUUGUAAAGUACUUUAAGUCGGGAGGCGUUACCGACAGAAGAAGCACCGGCUAACUCCGUGCCAGCAGCCGCGGUAAUAC